GACGAACGCUGGCGGCGUGCUUAACACAUGCAAGUCGAACGGUGAAGCUCCAGCUUGCUGGAGUGGAUCAGUGGCGAACGGGUGAGUAACACGUGAGCAACCUGCCCCUGACUCUGGAAUAAGCGCUGGAAACGGCGUCUAAUACUGGAUACGAGAAGGGUCCGCAUGGGCACUUUCUGGAAAGUUUUUCGGUUGGGGAUGGGCUCGCGGCCUAUCAGCUUGUUGGUGAGGUAAUGGCUCACCAAGGCGACGACGGGUAGCCGGCCUGAGAGGGCGACCGGCCACACUGGGACUGAGACACGGCCCAGACUCCUACGGGAGGCAGCAGUGGGGAAUAUUGCACAAUGGGCGAAAGCCUGAUGCAGCGACGCCGCGUGAGGGAUGACGGCCUUCGGGUUGUAAACCUCUUUCAGCAGGGAAGAAGCGAAAGUGACGGUACCUGCAGAAGAAGCACCGGCUAACGACGUG
rnacentral:rRNA from 1 species